rnacentral:misc_RNA from 1 species
UAUAGGUCUCAAGUCAGUAACAUACCUUGCAUUUAAUCAAUUAAAUACCGUUUUUUUCCCCCUCUCUUCAAAAUAUGGGUUUCCUUGUUUUUCCUAGAAUGUGUAAUAUUUUCGUUAAAUCUCUGCUUGUAGAGAACAGUUACAUUGGAAUGUCAUGAAUUGUGUUGACAUUGUAGGGAUUGGAUGGAGAAAUGAACAUCAGAUGAAGUGGGAUUAAGUACAAUUGUAUUUUUAUUGUCAGGUCUUUGAAAAAACAGUACGGCUUUUUGACAUUUCUUUCCGGGGUGUCUCCUUGUUUAACGGUGUGUUUGUGUAUGCUAGUGUGGGAGAGAUUGAGAGACUUGUACUUUGAUUGGGAGG